rnacentral:tRNA from 1 species
GGGAUAUAGCUCAAUAGUUGAGCAUUUGUCUAGCAUGCACGAGGCCCUGGGUUCAAUUCCUAGUGCCACCA